UACGUAGGGUGCAAGCGUUAAUCGGAAUUACUGGGCGUAAAGCGCGCGCAGGCGGUUUUGUAAGUCUGUCGUGAAAGCCCCGGGCUCAACCUGGGAAUUGCGAUGGAGACUGCAAGGCUUGAAUCUGGCAGAGGGGGGUAGAAUUCCACGUGUAGCAGUGAAAUGCGUAGAGAUGUGGAGGAACACCGAUGGCGAAGGCAGCUCCCUGGGUCAAGAUUGACGCUCAUGCACGAAAGCGUGGGGAGCAAACAGG
rnacentral:rRNA from 1 species